UGGGGGAUAUUGCACAAUGGGCGAAAGCCUGAUGCAGCGACGCCGCGUGGGGGAUGAAGGCUUUCGGGUUGUAAACCUCUUUCGCUAUCGAACAAGGCCCGCUUAGGGUGGGUUGAGGGUAGGUGGAGAAGAAGCGCCGGCUAACUACGUGCCAGCAGCCGCGGUAAUACGUAGGGCGCGAGCGUUGUCCGGAAUUAUUGGGCGUGAAGGGCUUGUAGGCGGCUUGUUGCGCCUGCUGUGAAAACGCGGGGCUUAACUUCGCGCGUGCAGUGGGUACGGGCAGGCUUGAGUGUGGUAGGGGUGACUGGAAUUCCAGGUGUAGCGGUGGAAUGCGCAGAUAUCUGGAGGAACACCGAUGGCGAAGGCAGGUCACUGGGCCAUUACUGACGCUGAGGAGCGAAAGCAUGGGUAGCGAACAGG
rnacentral:rRNA from 1 species